rnacentral:ncRNA from 2 species
CUAUUGAGAAACGGCUUCGGUUCCGGCGUCAUGCCGGAUGAAAAGGGAACGCGGUGAGGGGUGCCCCUCCAAAUCCGCGGCUGCCCCCGCAACUGUAGGCGGCGAGCGACGACCGAUCACGCCACUGGGGUUCCCCGGGAAGGCCGGUCCGAGCGAAGACCCGCGAGUCAGGAGACCUGCCGGAGCGAUCACCCUUUC